GAUGAACGCUAGCGGCAGGCUUAAUACAUGCAAGUCGAACGGUAAGGUCUCUUCGGAGAUACACGAGUGGCGCACGGGUGCGUAACGCGUAUGCAACCUACCUUUAACUGGGAAAUAGCCCCGAGAAAUCGAGAUUAAUGUCCCAUAUUAUUUUCUGAAAGCAUUUUCGGAAAAUGAAAGCCCCGGCGGUUAUUGAUGGGCAUGCGUGACAUUAGCUAGUUGGUGAGGUAACGGCUCACCAAGGCAACGAUGUCUAGGGGUCCUGAGAGGGUUAUCCCCCACACUGGUACUGAGACACGGACCAGACUCCUACGGGAGGCAGCAGUAAGGAAUAUUGGGCAAUGGACGCAAGUCUGACCCAGCCAUGCCGCGUGAAGGAUGAAUGUCCUAUGGAUUGUAAACUUCUUUUAUGCAGGAAAAAUAUCCCGGUCGUGAACCGGGACUGAUGGUACUGUAUGAAUAAGCAUCGGCUAACUCCGUGCCAGCAGCCGCAGUAACAC
rnacentral:rRNA from 1 species